rnacentral:rRNA from 1 species
UCCGUAGGUGGAUAAUUAAGUCAGAGGUGAAAUACCAUAGCUCAACUAUGGAACUGCCUUUGAUACUGGUUGACUUGAGUCAUAUGGAAGUAGAUAGAAUGUGUAGUGUAGCGGUGAAAUGCAUAGAUAUUACACAGAAUACCGAUUGCGAAGGCAGUCUACUACGUAUGUACUGACGCUGAGGGACGAAAGCGUGGGGAGCGAACAGGAUUAGAUACCCUGGUAGUCC